ACCAGAGACCAGAGACCAGACCAGACCAGACCAGACCAGAUCCUCCUUCCCCAGCUGCAGAACCACCCCAACGCCCACAACCACAUGCUGCAGGACCCGGGACGUGACUCCUGGCUGUCAAUUCUUAUUUUUACGUGGUGGUGGUGGGGAAAUGUGAGGAUUUCCAAGUGUGGACUGAAGGCACUAAAUACCGAACUGGAGACUGCUGUUGGUCAGUAAACCACUGAAGUCUGAGGAUGCUUCAGUAGUCAAGCAAUUAUAGAUUGGAAUAUAAUCCCCUUGGCAGUGCUGAGAGAAUCAGUUUGUUCCUCUUGAACAAUGUGUAG